GCCUUCGCCGACACCAUAGAGGUGGGCCUUUGGCGGCGUCAGAGGCGCGGGUGUUCGGCUACGUCACUGGGGCGCUACGGUUCCUGGAGCUGGGCAGUCUUCUCGUCAGAGUGGGGACUGGUAAGAGCGACCUCCCCGCCAGGUCCUGUGUGUUGCCGGCUGAAGAAGGGAUGAUGAUUAUUCCCCACCUUCUAAGAGACAAAGACCAACGAGCCACCACAGCCACCAGUCCCAGAACCCGCCAAUGCUGGGGAAUGGAAAAUGAGGGAGUUCAACUCUGGCCCUCACAAUCCAGUGGAGGAGACGAAACUCAUCUGCCUCUGUCCCUCUGGGCACACCUCAUGCCAGGUGCAUCUGUGGACAGGGGCCAUGCUCCUGGGCUUCCAAAGUUGGAGAAAGCUGCCAGGCUCAGACCCACCUAAGCUGAAGAUUCCCUUGAGAACAAGUACUGUCCUGUGGUUUCAUGGCCUUUCUUCCAUUUGUGGUUCUUGCGAAGUGGAAUUUAAAUGACAUCUUAUCAAGAUGGAUAAACCCUAGUUUCCCAGUGCUGGAAUAUAGAAAAUGGAUGGACAAGUAAAUCCCACUCAGUACCCAUAGGCCAGGCAUGGGGACCUCAACACACCUGAGCCCCAGACAUCACCUUUCAUUGUGAGUAGCUCUGAGAUGACACUUCUGCUGUUCCCAAUUCCAGCAUUAAUUGGAUUAGAUAGUUAUUUUAUGAAGAAUUUUCAUAUGCCACAAUCCUGACCGUAUCUUCAAGUGAACAGAAAAAUUCUAUUAAAAAGUCAACCUUCUGUCUCACUCUAUUGCCCAGACUGGAGUGCAGUGGUGCAAUUAUGGCUCACUGCAGUCUCAACCUCCUGGGCUCAAGCAAUCCUCCUGCCUCAGCCUCACAAGUAGCUGGGACUACAGGUGCUUGUCACCACACCUCACUAAUUUUCCCAUUUGUGUUACAUGUGGAUUCCACAGGACUGACUUCAAAAACUUGAGUAUGCGUGCAUUUUGGUAUACACAGAAAUGGGAGAGCUGGAACUAAUCCCCCCAUAUACCAAGGGACAAAUUGUAUCUGUUUUUACAAUUAUGCAGUAGGAGACAUUAUGUUCCAUGACAAUGGUAAUUUUUAAUGACAGUUUUUAAUUGAGUGAAAUUACCAUAAAAAUAAUAAUAGUAGUAGCUAAUAUUUACUGAGCUGUUACUAGGUGCCUAUAAAUAGCAUAGAUUUUUAAAUUCUCCAUAAUUCUUCCUUAUUUCACUUAACCACUCUAUCUUAAAUUACUCAUGCUUGCCUCAGUAGCACACAUACUUAAGUUGGAACAACAGAGAGAUUGGCACGGCCUCUGUGAAAGAAUGACAUGCAAAUUUGUGAAGCAUUCCAUAUUUUUUUAAAAAAA
rnacentral:lncRNA from 1 species